rnacentral:tRNA from 1 species
GCCAGUGUGAUGGAAUGGUAGACAUAGGGGAUUCAAAAUCCCCCGCCUUCGGGUGUAGGGGUUCAAGUCCCCUCUCUGGUACCA